rnacentral:lncRNA from 1 species
UCGAUGCAUACAAGCAGCAACACUCCAUUCAUGCAUUCCUCCCCAUCUAAACUUCUGAAAGUAAAGUUGGAGUCUCCGUGUGAUAUUCCAGCUAGCAGAUAGCAUAUGCGUGUCUACAAGCUACCUCAGGAAUCCAGCGAACGCUCAUGCGGGUAAAGGAUGACUGAGGAUGGACGACUACGUAGGACUGAUCAAUGUCGUCAUGGAACCGUCUAUCGGGGGAUCUUGCUGGACGAUUACUGCUAGC